rnacentral:rRNA from 1 species
CACUUAACAUGUAAAUUUAAUUGUUAAUCUAAAGGGGUACAGCCCUUUAGACUAAGGAUACAACCUUAAUUAGAGAGUAAAUAUGAUUAAACACCAUAGUUGGCCUAAAAGCAGCCAUCAAUUAAGAAAGCGUUCAAGCUCAACAAUUACCUCCUUCUUAAUUUAAUAAAUUAAAAUUAACUCCUACAACCACACUGGACCAAUCUAUAAUAUUAUAGAAGAAAUACUGUUAAUAUGAGUAACAAGAUUAUUAUCUCCAAGCGCAAGUUUAUAUCAGAUCAAAUAAUAACUGAUAAUUAACAGCUGAUUAAAUAAAACCCAAAAAUUAAUUAUUUAACCACUAGCCUGUUAACCCGACACAGGAGCGCACAACUUAUAAAGGAAAGAUUAAAAGAAGUAAAAGGAACUCGGCAAACACAAACCCCGCCUGUUUACCAAAAACAUCACCUCUAGCAUUUCUAGUAUUAGAGGCACUGCCUGCCCAGUGACAACUGUUAAACGGCCGCGGUAUCCUGACCGUGCAAAGGUAGCAUAAUCAUUUGUUCCUUAAAUAGGGACUUGUAUGAAUGGCCACACGAGGGUUUAACUGUCUCUUACUUCCAAUCAGUGAAAUUGACCUCUCCGUGAAGAGGCGGAAAUAAAUGAAUAAGACGAGAAGACCCUAUGGAGCUUUAAUUUACUUAAUUCAACAGGAAUUAAUUCAUUACCCACCAGGAAUAAUAAACACCCUGUAUGAAUUAAAAAUUUUGGUUGGGGUGACCUCGGAGUACAAACAAACCUCCGAGAUAUUUAUACCAAGACCCACAAGUCAAAGUAACUAAUACAACUGAUCCAGUCUAACUGAUCAACGGAACAAGUUACCCUAGGGAUAACAGCGCAAUCCUAUUCAAGAGUCCAUAUCGACAAUAGGGUUUACGACCUCGAUGUUGGAUCAGGACAUCCCAAUGGUGCAGCAGCUAUUAAUGGUUCGUUU